rnacentral:lncRNA from 1 species
GGUGGGGUGUCGGGGUGCUAACAAGUCGUCAGUCGCAUGAUGGAUGCGGCCGGCGGUCGGGCCUCCACAGUAGGAGUACUAGCUCGACCACCACCGUCAAUCAGCUCGAUCCAUCCAUCGGCAGGAGCUCCUUCAAUUCCUUCGCUUCUCUCGACACACUCCGACGUACCGUCAACCUGUGCUGGCGCCUGGCGGUACGAUACUCGAUCUCUCAACUGAUCCCUCCUGCGCCAUUAUUAUUAAAACGGCUAACUCUCUGAUCUGAUCAUCGCCGGCCGUGUACGUGUCCUUAAUUGGGCUUGCUGCUUGCUUGAUGGGUACGUGAUGGCCAUGCAUGCAUGCUUGCGAGUUGCGUUGCGACAGAGAGGACCCCGCCCCGGUCACUGUCAAGGGCGCGCGCUGAUCUGCACUGCAUGCACGCACGCUGCUUCCUUCUUUACCUUUAAUUUAUGUGCAUCAUGCAUGCAUGGCGUCAGGGUGCGCAACUUGUUUUGCACCACUCACUUUACAUACUUCCCGUACACUGCGCUUAUCUUUUCUUUUGUCUCCCCCCCUUCAUUCCCAAGUCAAUUGCUCAAACCUGCAGCUUUUAUAUAGUAGUACCUGUUGUUAAUUAAGGAUAGUACUCCCACUACAUAAUUAAGGAGCUAGGACACAAAGGCGGCACUGCGAGAAAAAAAAAAGCGAGCGUCGUAUGCAUGGAUGCCUGAUGAAUUUGUUGGUGCGCCCAUGCCUGCAUGCAUGAAUCAGUGUGGGCGCUGGCCGGGGGCGUGCGGUCGGUCGGUCGGUGCCCAUUCCACAUGCAUCCACGACGAGCGAUCGAGGUCGAGCUACAUACCCUCGCCUAACUGUUUUACAGUUUUCCAUCCCGUCAAUCGAUGAAUGGCGCGACAGCGCAUGCAUCGCCCGCCCGCCCGCGCUUUUACACAUGUGUCCAGUAUAAAUAGCGACGUGUGUACUGCAGUAUAAUAUAUGUGUACAUGUAUAUGUAAACACAACUAUUCUGCAUAAUAAGAUAUACAAGUUGACUUUCUAUUAAUAGGUGCCUUGGGUCAGCAACAGGGGAGUACUGAUGACAGGCGCCGUAACACCAUCUCAUCGAUGAAAUCACUAUUUUACAGUAAACUAUUAACCUGCCGUUAUAUUUGGAAGACUUAAGUGUAUAGACACAUAUAGUAAUUUGUUUUUUUUUUUGCAUCACAGAGCGGUUUUAGUGCCAUCUGUGUUUUCUCAUUAUAGCGACCACCCUAGUUAUAUAUAGCUAUAGCCUUUCGCUCAGGCACUGCAUAAUAACGACAAGAUUAUUGUUGCACCCGGCCCUUUGAUAGGUUGAUUUGUUUGAUACUGACUUUUGGUAGAUAAAGAAGACCAUAUCUUGUCUCCUACUAUAUAGUGUACUUUCUGUGUCUGCCUACCCUGAUAUCCAGAAUCUGAAUGAAGAACGCUAGCCACCUACUAAUAGUCUAAUUGAUUUCAGUGCGUGUUCAGAAAAAAACUGAAAAGGCGAUGUGUUAACCUACUGCAGUCUGCAUGGCACAUCUACAUUUGGGCACUAGACUUUCCUCAGUGUGUGUGUAUAUAUAUAUAUAUAUAUAUAUAUAUAUAUAUAUAUAUAUAUAUUGAAUGGCGAAUAGAAUAAAGAGCAUCAAUAAUUGAGCCGCCUAGCUUCUACUAAUUCCGUUGUGCUUGACCAAUGUCACAAAACCUGAAUAUAAAGAAUUAUAUACUACUUCUUCAUUCUGUGGAUACUAGCUGCCUAAUAAAAAAUAAACACGUCUCGCAUCGAUCCAUGUUGUAACACCCUAAAAUUCGCUCUUUUCAAAAUAGAUGAAAAUUUAUUCAGUUUUGUAUUUUGUGCUCGAGGUGACGUGAUUUGCGUGUUAGUGUAGACGUUGUCCUAUCAUGUAUUUUCCCAAUGUAGUUAAUUAUUAAAUUGAUUAAUACACUUGCGUCUAGUUUUAUAAUUAAAAAAAUCAUUAUAGAUUUUAUACUCCGGUAUUCUAUAUAUAAAUACUAGUAAUGUUAAUUGCUAUCAUCGAUGUAUUUUAAAAAUUAUAAUUUGACUAGUUUAAACCCACAUCAUGGGUAGGUCGAGUAGGUGUUUCACCUGUGUCUUUUCUUUUGGCAAAGUUAGUGUUCAACUUGCUAAUAUACGAUAAUAUUUGAAUGUAAGAUGUGACUAGAUUUGAGUUGGUUUUUAAAUUAAAUUAUGAUUUGUCCAAUCUGAAUUAAUAAUUUUCCUAUCAUUUUGCUUAACUAAUAUAAAAUAAUUUAAACUUGUAGUUGUUUCUUUUAUAACAAAAAUAUAAAUCUUUCGGUAGUCGUUUCUUUUUAUCAUAGCCCUCGGUGUUUCUAGUGUUCUCGUCACCAUAGUAAUUAGUUCUCUUUUAAUACGUUAUUUUCUCUUGUGUGGUGUAUUGUUCUUAGUUUCUUUUAUUUAUUGCUUGUAUGUUGGUCUAUGUUGUGGUGCUUGCUACGAGUAGACGAGAACCGACUGUGAGCGUCGAAGAAGGUGAUGACCAAAAGCUGAUGGUGUGAGAAUUGAUCAAGUGUAAAAGGCAAGUAUAGCAUUUGGAUUUUAUUUCUGUGACCAUGAUCCUGUGACUAGAUUAAUGUUAAGUAAUAAAUGAUAAAAAUAACUUUUUAGCAAGUUGAUGAUUUGUCUGUACGUGAUCACCCGGGACAACAGUGCAACCAUGAGGGCUAUAAUGGCUCUGGCUUUAGCUCAGUAUGAAGACCUUUUCUAGCUUGUUAGAGGUUACCUGAAAGGGCGGAGGGGCUGAACCGUUUUGGGUAUAGUGCGAGCCCCUGUCCUUAUGUGUAUAGGCUGCGCGUCAUUGUGCCAUUUAGAAGGGGGGCAUCUAUAUCUGCGCGCAAAGGAAACCUUGCGGCCCUAACAUGUUAGACGAACUUUUGAAAGGCUUCAUAGUGAUCCCUGCCGACCUUCCUUGGAAGUGGGUUAAGAGGCUGAUGACUUCGGGCGAAAGGGUAAAUCAUGACUCAUGGGUAAAGAUGUGCAACCUCUGCAGAGUGUUAAAACUAGUAUACUAGCCGAGCUCACGGUCAGGAGCGGCCUUGGGGACAUCUACAUUAAGGGUGAUGAUUCUUGUGUGUUAAUAUGCUCAUUAUUUAUUGUUUAAUGCUUUACAUUAUUUAUGUCACAUUGAUCAUGAGAUUGUCGGCGCUAUACAAUCUAGUUGCUAUACUUGUGGAGUUCGAUAUGGACUCACUCUUGCUAUUUUCCCAAACCUCAGGAGAAGUUUAGGCUUGUGAUCAACCAGUCAGUUGGAUCCUGUAGAGAGAAGUUAAUACCCGAAGUUCGGAGUUGUUUAUCCGCUAUUGCUAUCAAAGGUUAUCUCUUUUAUACUAAGUACGUUAUAUAAUUUAUGCAUUGUCUUUUGAUAUUACCCCUUAUUUGUAGCUAUAUGUGAGAUUUGGCUUCUAAGACUCACAUAUGGUGCAUAUCUGGUUUUGUCCUUAAAAUCAGGUAUUACACAUGCAUGGAC